rnacentral:rRNA from 1 species
AGAGCGAACGCUGGCGGCAGGCCUAACACAUGCAAGUCGAGCGGGCAUCGCAAGAUGUCAGCGGCAGACGGGAGAGUAACACGUGGGAACAUGCCCUUCGGUUCGGAAUAACUCAGGGAAACUUGAGCUAAUACCGGAUACGUCCGUAAGGAGAAAGAUUUAUCGCCGAAGGAUUGGCCCGCGUCCGAUUAGCUAGUUGGUGAGGUAAUGGCUCACCAAGGCGACGAUCGGUAGCUGGUCUGAGAGGAUGAUCAGCCUCACUGGGACUGAGACACGGCCCAGACUCCUACGGGAGGCAGCAGUGGGGAAUAUUGGACAAUGGGCGCAAGCCUGAUCCAGCCAUGCCGCGUGGGUGAUGAAGGCCCUAGGGUUGUAAAGCCCUUUCGGCGGGGAAGAGUAAUGACGGUACCGCAGAAGAGCCCGGCUAACUUCGUGCCAGCAGCCGC